AACUUUUACGAGGUAUCAGCAGUUUUCUUUCAUUAGUGGGGAAGGAAGGAUGAAAAAUACAAAACAGGAGUAGACUUUUAAAGUUUAAAUAGACAGGUCUCAGUGCCUGAACGUGCUCUUCCAUUUUACUUUUAACCCUCCAAAGAAGUAUUCUGAUCCAGUUUCACUGCUGAUCAGCAAGGGUAAGUUGAAAGU
rfam:Patagioenas fasciata monilis isolate BTP2013 Sc31e1R_1, whole genome shotgun sequence.